rnacentral:lncRNA from 1 species
AGCGUUCUUGACAUUUGGAUCUUUAAAUAUCGAACUUGAUACUCUUAUUAAAUUGUUUACUUGAUUUAAUUAUUAUGUUUCUAUGGUGUUGCCCAUGAUUUGAGAAAGUUAACUUGGUGAAUCUGAUAGCUCCGAACCUAUAGUUUUGCACCACUAAGCUAUAUGCUUAGCGAUAGUUGUUUCUAUCGUAGGGAAUGAUCGAGUGGAUGCAUGAAGCUGGCCAUUGGAGAUGGAAAUUUUGAGAGCCUUAAGGAAGAUCACAUUUGCAUAUAGGCAUCUAUAUUUUGUAUAAACCUUGGGACUUGUACAUGAUCUAUGUGUUGUAUAUUUACAUGAAAUUUUGAGGACUAAUUUGAU